rnacentral:rRNA from 1 species
GCGUUAUUCGGAAUUAUUGGGCGUAAAGGGCGCGUAGGCGGUCGGACAAGUGGAAGGUGAAAUCCCCGAGCUCAACUCGGGAACUGCCCUCCAAACUGUUUGACUUGAGUCCGGGAGAGGUGAGUGGAAUUCCCAGUGUAGCGGUGAAAUGCGUAGAUAUUGGGAGGAACACCAGUGGCGAAGGCGGCUCACUGGACCGGGACUGACGCUGAGGCGCGAAAGCGUG